CAUAAAUUUUAAAAUGGCUGCUAGCAGCCAGGUAGUGAAUAAUUAUUUUCUUUUUGUUUCCUUAAAUUUGUUUAACGUAAGUCGAGAAUGAUACAAUUAUAAAUGGGUCUUCCAAAGUUAUGAAAUACAAAGGUUGAAUUCACAACUGAUGACCAGACCAUAGAUUAUCGGAAGUAUUGAAAUAUAUAAUUUUUCAAGCACAUUUCUACAAAACAUAGCUUUAUUCGCGAUGGAAAGGAUAAGGGAUGAGGAUCGCAAGCGGCGAUUGCGAUUUUUGGAGGAGCGCAUUCAAAAUCCCAAAAGCAAAGCUAACAUCGACUGUUUAUUAGAUACAGUGCAAGCUUUAAUAACCGAUUGUGAUCAUCCGGCCGUUAGAAAAGUUAAAAACAUUGAGGUAUAUUUAAA